AACGCACAUUGCGCCUCCCCUCACCGGGAGGCAUGCCUGUCUGAGCGUCAUUUAAAACCAAUAGGCCCCCUCAUGGGGGCCUGUGAUGGGCCUCGCACUCGGUGGCGUCGCCUUGAAAUGAUCGGUCGAAUGGACGGAUGAGAUCCACUAGGACCUGGCCGUCAUGUGGACCGUGGGACUCUGAUUUGACCUCAGAUCAGGUAGGGACACCGCCUGAACUUAA
rnacentral:misc_RNA from 1 species